CUGGUUGAUCCUGCCAGAGGUCACUACUAUCGGGGUUCGAUUAAGCCAUGCGAGUCGAGAGGGUUCAGACCCUCGGCGGACUGCUCACUAACACGUGGAUAACCUGCCCUAAGGUGGAGCAUAACCCCGGGAAACUGGGGAUAAUACUCCAUAGGUUAGAGAUACUGGAAUGUUCUUUAAUCGAAAGUUCCGGCGCCUUAGGAUGGAUCUGCGACCGAUUAGGUAGUUGUUGGGGUAACGGCCCAACAAGCCUGUAAUCGGUACGGGUUGUGGGAGCAAGAGCCCGGAGAUGGAAUCUGAGACACGAUUCCAGGCCCUACGGGGCGCAGCAGGCGCGAAAACUUUACAAUGCAGGAAACUGUGAUAAGGGAACCCCGAGUGCCCGUAUACGCGGGCUGUCCGGGUGUAUAAAAAGCAUCUGAAGAAAGGGCCGGGCAAGACCGGUGCCAGCCGCCGCGGUAAUACCGGCGGCUCGAGUGGUGACCACUUUUAUUGGGCUUAAAGCGUUCGUAGCUGGACUCUUAAGUCUCUUGGGAAAUCCCGCGGCUCAACCGUGGGGCGUUUAAGAGAUACUGGGAGUCUAGGAACCGGGAGAGGUAAGAGGUACUACGGGGGUAGAAGUGAAAUUCUGUAAUCCUCGAGGGACCACCGAUGGCGAAUGCAUCUUACCAGAACGGCUUCGACAGUGAGGAACGAAAGCUGGGGGAGCGAACGGGAUUAGAUACCCCGGUAGUCCCAGCCGUAAACGAUGCGCGUUAGGUGUACUGGUGACCACGAGUCACUGGGGUGCCGAAGGGAAACCGUGAAACGUGCCGCCUGGGAAGUACGGUCGCAAGGCUGAAACUUAAAGGAAUUGGCGGGGGAGCACCAC
rnacentral:rRNA from 1 species